rnacentral:rRNA from 1 species
GUUAAGCGACUAAGCGUACACGGUGGAUGCCCUGGCAGUCAGAGGCGAUGAAGGACGUGCUAAUCUGCGAUAAGCGUCGGUAAGGUGAUAUGAACCGUUAUAACCGGCGAUUUCCGAAUGGGGAAACCCAGUGUGAUUCGUCACACUAUCAUUAACUGAAUCCAUAGGUUAAUGAGGCGAACCGGGGGAACUGAAACAUCUAAGUACCCCGAGGAAAAGAAAUCAACCGAGAUUCCCCCAGUAGCGGCGAGC